UUCUCCUUUUUCCUACCAUGUGUGCUUU
rnacentral:piRNA from 1 species